UCGUUUUAACUUACUCUUUUCAACUUUGAGUGUGAAUUAGGAAGAAUCCUUAGAAUUUUUUUAACAAAUUAAGUACCUUUUUGGAUUUGUAGUUUCAUAGGGUAUUGUAAUGUUGAAGAAGAAGUAAAAAGUUUGGAAUGAAUUGAGUAAUUUUUAGGAUUUAUAUUUUCAGAAGGUAAUAUAAUGUUGAAGAAGAAGCUGACGUUGACUCAUUUGCUUCGUGUCACUACCAUUGUUGUUGAUUUUCUAGCCCAAAUUGCUGCGCAAGUACUGUGUGUUUUUUUUUAAAUUCUAAAGUAUACGACAUUUUUUUUAGAUCUCAUAAAAUUUACUUAACUGGUCGACUAAUUUCAGUGAUCCAAUUGUAAUUUAAAACCAUAGCUGGUGGUUUUUAGUUACUCUCCAUUUUAAGACGCCUAAGACAACUCUUGGUGCGUAGGGUACAAGUGCCACGGUUUCAAUUAGUUGGAAAAAAGGCUUUACUCGAAUCAACAAAUGUAAGCAAAGAAACUUGAAUUGGGGUCGAACUGGCGUUGGGUGUCCAUUGUCCAAGUGGGAAGCUGAACUUUUAAUAUAUAAUGGGACAACAGACUGAAAUUUUGGAAUGUUUCUUUACAGCACUAAAGCUAAAGAUACAGAGUUUGAUUAUUUGUGUAGGAAUAUAGGAUUGGAUCUGGUGGAAUAUUGAAAUACGAUAUGAUGUUGAAAUGUAAGGUAUACUAAUCUAAUGUCCUUAGAGCAAAUCUGUUUUUAUUUACCAAGUUAGUUUUUUUUGUUUUAGUUUUUCAAUGCUGACAAAUUAUCAAAAACACUUAUAUUUUAUAAACAUGAUGUA